UCUCGACCGGGGCGACAGCAAUAUGAAGGUCAGGCUGAAGACCUUACCCGAUUAGCUGAGAGGUGGUGCAUGGCCGUCGUCAGUUCUUACUGUGAAGCAUCCUGUUAAGUCAGGCAACGAGCGAGACCCACGUCCACAGUUGCCAGCAUACCCUCCGGGGUGAUGGGUACACUGUGGAGACCGCCGCUGCUAAAGCGGAGGAAGGAGUGGGCAACGGUAGGUCAGUAUGCCCCGAAUCUCCCGGGCUACACGCGGGCUACAAUGGUUGGUACAAUGGGCAUCUACCCCGAAAGGGGAAGGAAAUCUCUUAAAGCCAAUCGUAGUUCGGAUUGAGGGCUGCAACUCGCCCUCAUGAAGCUGGAAUCCGUAGUAAUCGCGUUUCAACAGAACGCGGUGAAUACGUCCCUGCUCCUU
rnacentral:rRNA from 1 species